GAUGAACGCUAGCUACAGGCUUAACACAUGCAAGUCGAGGGGCAGCAUGAACUUAGCUUGCUAAGUUUGAUGGCGACCGGCGCACGGGUGAGUAACACGUAUCCAACCUUCCGUUUACUCAGGGAUAGCCUUUCGAAAGAAAGAUUAAUACCUGAUAGUAUGGUGAGAUUGCAUGAUAACACCAUUAAAGAUUUAUUGGUAAACGAUGGGGAUGCGUUCCAUUAGGUAGUAGGCGGGGUAACGGCCCACCUAGCCUGCGAUGGAUAGGGGUUCUGAGAGGAAGGUCCCCCACAUUGGAACUGAGACACGGUCCAAACUCCUACGGGAGGCAGCAGUGAGGAAUAUUGGUCAAUGGGCGAGAGCCUGAACCAGCCAAGUAGCGUGAAGGAUGAAGGUCCUACGGAUUGUAAACCUUUCUUUUUUAAUAAGGGGAAUAAAAACCUCCCACGUGUGGGAGCUUGUAUGUACCUUAUGAAUAAGCAUCGGCUAACUCCGUG
rnacentral:rRNA from 1 species